CAAAAAGCAGGGCCCUGUUGCCUCUUGUGAACAUGACUCUCGUAAACUUCAGGAAAAUUAUAUGCAUUGUUAUUGGGUGAACCUCUGUAGUUAUUGGUGACUGAAGUUUCAGUAAAUGAUGACAAAUUU